GCAACCCUGACGGAGCAACGCCGCGUGGNNAGGACGGUUUGUGGACUGUAAACCGCUUUUAAUAGGGAAGAAGGUCUGACGGUACCUAUUGAAUAAGCAUCGGCUAACUCCGUGCCAGCGGCCGCGGUAAUACGGAGGAUGCAAGCGUUAUCCGGAAUUAUUGGGCGUGAAGGGUCCGCAGGUGGCUAGUCAAGUCAGCUGUUAAAGGCCGGGGCUUAACUCCGGACGAGCAGUUGAAACUGGAUAGCUAGAGUACGGUAGGGGUAGAGGGAAUUCCUAGUGUAGCGGUGAAAUGCGUAGAUAUUAGGAAGAACACCAGUGGCGAAGGCGCUCUACUGGGCCUGUACUGACACUGAGGGACGAAAGCUAGGGGAGCG
rnacentral:rRNA from 1 species